GAUGAACGCUGGCGGCGUGCCUAAUACAUGCAAGUCGAGCGAACAGACGAGGAGCUUGCUCCUCUGACGUUAGCGGCGGACGGGUGAGUAACACGUGGAUAACCUACCUAUAAGACUGGGAUAACUUCGGGAAACCGGAGCUAAUACCGGAUAAUAUAUUGAACCGCAUGGUUCAAUAGUGAAAGACGGUUUUGCUGUCACUUAUAGAUGGAUCCGCGCCGCAUUAGCUAGUUGGUAAGGUAACGGCUUACCAAGGCGACGAUGCGUAGCCGACCUGAUAGGGUGAUCGGCGACACGAGAACUGAGACACGGUCCACACUCCUGCGGGACGCAGCAUUAGGGAAUCUUCCGCAAUGGGCGAAAGCCUGACGGAGCAACGCCGCGUGAGUGAUGAAGGUCUUCGGAUCGUAAAACUCUGUUAUUAGGGAAGAACAAAUGUGUAAGUAACUAUGCACGUCUUGACGGUACCUAAUCAGAAAGCCACGGCUAACUACGUG
rnacentral:rRNA from 1 species